UGGCGCAGCUGAGGGGUCCCUCCCUUGGCAUU
rnacentral:sRNA from 1 species